rnacentral:rRNA from 1 species
ACGAACGCUGGCGGCAUGCCUAACACAUGCAAGUCGAACGAAGGCUUCGGCCUUAGUGGCGCACGGGUGCGUAACGCGUGGGAAUCUGCCCUUAGGUUCGGAAUAACAGUUAGAAAUGACUGCUAAUACCGGAUGAUGACGUAAGUCCAAAGAUUUAUCGCCUGAGGAUGAGCCCGCGUAGGAUUAGCUAGUUGGUGUGGUAAAGGCGCACCAAGGCGACGAUCCUUAGCUGGUCUGAGAGGAUGAUCAGCCACACUGGGACUGAGACACGGCCCAGACUCCUACGGUAGGCAGCAGUGGGGAAUAUUGGACAAUGGGCGCAAGCCUGAUCCAGCAAUGCCGCGUGAGUGAUGAAGGCCUUAGGGUUGUAAAGCUCUUUUACCCGUGAUGAUAAUGACAGUAGCGGGAGAAUAAGCCCCGGCUAACUCCGUG